UCAGAUAAGAAUCCUUUCAAUGUUAGCAGAGGUCUGCAGCAUGCUGCAGGACCAAGGCACUGUAGCAGUUUGAGAUGGAGGGCAGAAAGAUGCUACAAACAGUGAACAGCUGUGGACAGCCUAGAGGUGUUUGCAGAACUAGACAAUGAGCUGAAGUCAAUAGAGACCAGGUAGAGGAUGAUAUGCUACUUGUCAUCAGUUGGUGGGUCAUCUCUGAGGGACAAUGUGAAGAGAAUGCUUCUGAAGGUUAUGACCAUUUCCCUGAUGGGAAAUUUUUAACAUGAGUGGGCAAACCCGUCAUAAUGCGGAGAAGAAACAUGGUUUCAAGCAGACAGCCAUGUAUUCAGUGAUUAAAG